rnacentral:rRNA from 1 species
UACGGAGGAUGCAAGCGUUAUCCGGAAUGAUUGGGCGUAAAGCGUCCGCAGGUGGCAAUGUAAGUCUGCUGUCAAAGCGUCUGGCUCAACCAGAUAAAGGCAGUGGAAACUACAUAGCUAGAGUAAGGUAGGGGUAGAGGGAAUUCCUGGUGUAGCGGUGAAAUGCGUAGAGAUCAGGAAGAACAUCGGUGGCGAAAGCGCUCUACUGGACCGCAACUGACACUCAGGGACGAAAGCUAGGGGAGCGAAUGGG